rnacentral:rRNA from 1 species
UACGUAGGGUGCGAGCGUUGUCCGGAAUUAUUGGGCGUAAAGAGCUCGUAGGCGGUCUGUCGCGUCGGUCGUGAAAACUUGGGGCUUAACCCUGAGCUUGCGGUCGAUACGGGCAUGACUGGAGUUCGGCAGGGGAGACUGGAAUUCCUGGUGUAGCGGUGAAAUGCGCAGAUAUCAGGAGGAACACCGGUGGCGAAGGCGGGUCUCUGGGCCGAUACUGACGCUGAGGAGCGAAAGUGUGGGGAGCGAACAGG